rnacentral:rRNA from 1 species
GUGGCUCUUGAGUAUCGGAGAGGCAGGCGGAAUUCCUAGUGUAGCGGUGAAAUGCGUANAUAUUAGGAGGAACACCGUGGCGAAGGCGGCCUGCUGGACGACAACUGACGCUGAGGCGCGAAAGCGUGGGGAGCAAACAGGAUUAGAUACCCUGGUAGUCCACGCUGUAAACGAUGAAUACUANGUGUGGGGGGACUGACCCCCUCCGUGCCGCANUUAACACAAUAAGUAUUCCACCUGGGGAGU